AUUUAAUGGAUUGAAGUGAGGUCCUGAAAGUUACCAUUUUCAUGAAAACUCAGGUAUAUAUCACAAAGGAGAACAAAACCAGUAAAAGCAAACAUUCAUUAGCUGAGAUUUUUAAGCUUUGUUUCUGAUUCCAUUAUCAGCUAUCCAAAUGGUUCCUUUAGCCAAUUCUUUGGCAACACCAAUAGCCAUCCUAAACUAAAAUUAUGAUCCAAACCAAUCCAGUGUCAUCAAGAUUCACAUGUCUGUAUGUGUAUCAGUCUUUUAGAUAAAGGUUAUUUAAGAGAAACAGUCAAGACUUGUAAGUAGCACAAGCUACCAAAAAAAAACAAUCCAUCUGAAAGUAAUUCAAACUCAGCAGAACUAAAAUUGAUAACAAACAAACCAGUAGAGAUGCAGCCAUUUGUG